rnacentral:rRNA from 1 species
UACGUAGGGUGCAAGCGUUGUCCGGAAUUAUUGGGCGUAAAGAGCUCGUAGGCGGUUUGUCGCGUCUGCUGUGAAAACCCGAGGCUCAACCUCGGGCCUGCAGUGGGUACGGGCAGACUAGAGUGCGGUAGGGGAGAUUGGAAUUCCUGGUGUAGCGGUGGAAUGCGCAGAUAUCAGGAAGAACACCAGUGGCGAAGGCGGCUCACUGGCCCGUUACCGACGCUCAGGCGCGACAGCGUGGGGAGCAAACAGG